UAGCGCACUUAUGCAGAAACUGUCAGUAUUUUUAUAGAGAGGUGCCUACCCCUCUUUUGGUCCACAUUAUAAAACCUAUUGAAAUAUAUGCAGCUUUUACGAAAUGAAAGAGGUAACAAGCUUUGCCAUGCACAGAAGCUGUAAUUUUGAGGCCUUAGAAUACUUCACAGGAAAUGGUUGCGGUAAGCCACGGAAAUGACAUCGCCAGCGCUGCUCUGCUCGCCACUGCAUUCACAGGUCCUUUAUAAUCACGCUGACCUGUGCUGACCCCGUAGCUACGGAGCAUUGUGUCGGAAUCCAGGGCAUGUGAAGGCCAAGGGAACGGAAUAAAGAGGGCUGCAGUCCGGAGCCCAGAGCCGAGGACCGCUGGUAAAUCAAUCAGCCCAGAAUGAGAGGAAAGGAGGGGAACCUCAUAUUGGCAGUGAAGAGGAAGAGAUGAUCGGAUCAUGUGCCACUUGAACUGAGGCGACAGCAAUAUCUCCCGCCAAAACGGUAUUUAUUGUUUGAAUUUCUUAAUAAAACUUACACAAAAAACUAAGACUUUGUUUCAUAUAGAAAAGUAACCUGCUCUUUCUUGUCUG